ACGAACGCUGGCGGCGUGCCUAAUACAUGCAAGUCGAACGCUUCUUUCCUCCCGAGUGCUUGCACUCAAUUGGAAAGAGGAGUGGCGGACGGGUGAGUAACACGUGGGUAACCUACCCAUCAGAGGGGGAUAACACUUGGAAACAGGUGCUAAUACCGCAUAACAGUUUAUGCCGCAUGGCAUAAGAGUGAAAGGCGCUUUCGGGUGUCGUUGAUGGAUGGACCCGCGGUGCAUUAGCUAGUUGGUGAGGUAACGGCUCACCAAGGCCACGAUGCAUAGCCGACCUGAGAGGGUGAUCGGCCACACUGGGACUGAGACACGGCCCAGACUCCUACGGGAGGCAGCAGUAGGGAAUCUUCGGCAAUGGACGAAAGUCUGACCGAGCAACGCCGCGUGAGUGAAGAAGGUUUUCGGAUCGUAAAACUCUGUUGUUAGAGAAGAACAAGGACGUUAGUAACUGAACGUCCCCUGACGGCAUCUAACCAGAAAGCCACGGCUAACUACGUG
rnacentral:rRNA from 1 species